rnacentral:lncRNA from 1 species
CAGGAAACGUUCAGUGCACCGACUGGAACGGAGCCAGCUAGGAAGGGACUUCAGCAGGAAGGGCUGCACAGCUUCCCAGCCAUCACAGGAUCAGAGCAGCCGUGGACCUGAGGAGGUGAUUAAGAAUCAAGUGCCCGUGACAAAUAGCCCUUCAGAGGAAGUUAGCUUUUGUGGGAGCAACUCGAGCUGACCCUGAGUCACAGCAAAGAAGCCUGUGGAGGAAUCAUGGCCAGCCAACAGGUUGAGUUGGAGGAAAUCUCUUAGAUAGAUGGACUAUCAG